UUACGGGAGGCAGCAGUGGGGAAUUUUGGACAAUGGGGGCAACCCUGAUCCAGCCAUUCCGCGUGAGUGAAGAAGGCCUUCGGGUUGUAAAGCUCUUUCGGCAGGAACGAAAAGGCGGGCUCUAACAUAGCCUGUCAAUGACGGUACCUGAAGAAGAAGCACCGGCUAACUACGUGCCAGCAGCCGCGGUAAUACGUAGGGUGCGAGCGUUAAUCGGAAUUACUGGGCGUAAAGCGUGCGCAGGCGGCUUUGUAAGACAGGUGUGAAAUCCCCGGGCUUAACCUGGGAACUGCGCUUGUGACUGCAAGGCUUGAGUGCGGCAGAGGGGGGUGGAAUUCCACGUGUAGCAGUGAAAUGCGUAGAGAUGUGGAGGAACACCGAUGGCGAAGGCAGCCCCCUGGGUCGACACUGACGCUCAUGCACGAAAGCGUGGGUAGCAAACAGGAUUAGAUACCCGUGUAGUCCG
rnacentral:rRNA from 1 species